rnacentral:snRNA from 1 species
UUUCUUGUUCCAAAGUACACAUACUAAAAUUGGAGCGACACAGAAAAGAUUAGCAUGGCCCCUGCUCAAGUAUGGUGCGCGAAAUCCUGAAGCAUUCCACAUUUAU